GCAGAGGUAUCGAAGCCCGGUCAACCGAGAAGGACUCAAGAAAUCCUUUCUCUCAGGAGUUCGUGGGUUCAAAUCCCACCCUCUGCA
rnacentral:tRNA from 1 species